rnacentral:lncRNA from 1 species
CUUCCCUUUGUCAAUCGUAGACUGGUUCCAUACCGGACAAAAUUGGCUUUAGCCAAUGUAAAGCAUGAUGAAUUGAAAGUGAUGUAUCGGCGGUUUAACUCAUUUUUCACGAAAAAUAAUUUCUGAUGUCAAAAGUAUUUAGUUGAAUAACAAAUUAAUGUUAUUAAAAGAUUUGAAAACCUUAUAAAUUACUCACAUUACGCACAGGUAGAUUUGCUCUUUCUGCUAGCUCUUCAUUGUUAAUAAAA